UGGUAUUACAAUGUGUGCACAGAGACCGAGGCCAAGCCCAGCGUUCAAACAAGGAAACUGAACCCUUGUCUCAGAGCAAACAAGGGGACGUCAUCAAAUACAUUGCAAAGCAGCCAUUCUUGAAGGAGACAAUAUGGAAACUACAAAGUGAAAACACGCUGCUUCGACAGCAACUAGAAGUUGCUCGAAAUGAAGCCAGAAGCAAAAAGACAAUAUUUAAUACCCCAGAGCCAUUUCUGGAUCACAUGGGAAAACUUGAAGCCAUGAGCACACGAGUUCUCAUGCUGGAGGAAGGAAACAAGGAGUUAAUUAAAGAAUGCAGAUGUUUAAAGGACAGACUGUGUCAGUAUGAAACGGACAGAGCAGAAAUGGAAGCCCGUAUGAGACAGCUUCAGCAAGAACUGGCUGACACCCGAAAGAAAGUGUCCACGUUGGAAGCAUCCCUGGAGGUGACAGCACAUCAUCAAACUAACUCAGAAAA